rnacentral:tRNA from 1 species
AAUAGAGUGCCUGAAAAAAAGGACUAUCUUGAUAGGAUAGAAAAUGUGUAAUACACCUUUAUUA